AUUGAACGCUGGCGGCAUGCCUUACACAUGCAAGUCGAACGGUAACAGGUCUUCGGAUGCUGACGAGUGGCGAACGGGUGAGUAAUACAUCGGAACGUGCCCGAUCGUGGGGGAUAACGGAGCGAAAGCUUUGCUAAUACCUCAUACGAUCUACGGAUGAAAGCAGGGGACCGCAAGGCCUUGCGCGGACGGAGCGGCCGAUGGCAGAUUAGGUAGUUGGUGGGAUAAAAGCUUACCAAGCCGACGAUCUGUAGCUGGUCUGAGAGGACGACCAGCCACACUGGCACUGAGACACGGCCCAGACUCCUACGGGAGGCAGCAGUGGGGAAUUUUGGACAAUGGGCGAAAGCCUGAUCCAGCCAUGCCGCGUGCAGGAUGAAGGCCUUCGGGUUGUAAACUGCUUUUGUACGGAACGAAAAGACUCUUUCUAAUAAAGAGGGUCCAUGACGGUACCGUAAGAAUAAGCACCGGCUAACUACGUG
rnacentral:rRNA from 1 species